rnacentral:lncRNA from 1 species
UUUUCUUGAUUUCUCAAAAACCAGAACCAAACGAAGAACGAGACCCUCCCCGUUCCCAAAAACAAGCGAUUCCCUCUUUCUUCUUCUUCACUUCACGCCUAAGCCAUCCAGUAGCAGCUGCAAAAUGCCAAAAACCAGAUCUAAAAAUCAAAAGCUAAAAAAACGCAAGAAAAGCUGAUAUUUUCAAUGGAAAUUUAUAGAGAACUGAUUUUCGACGCUCGAUUUCCUUUCGUCUUGGGUAGGAUUUGCUGUUUUUGGUCGUUGAUUUUGCUGACUCCGUGUUGCUAUUUUUGCUCGUUUCACUGCUGUCCAAUAGUGGAGCUUUAGUUUGCUUCUUAUGAUAUAGCUCAUUUGAACCAACACAACAUCUGAUUUUUUGAGAAUUCAAUAAACGUGGACAGUUGGCAGUUGAAGUUACAAAGAAAUGAUGAGCUUGAUUCUUUGGAUUCUGGUUUCUAUUUGGCCAAAUUUCAGUUGUUUCCUACUAAGUAGCUAAUUUCUUUGCCUUUUGUCUGGCUUUUGGAGCUGUAGACCUGCGCUCUAGAUGUUGAAAGUUGGCAUGGAUGUGAACAUGAAUUUAAUAUCUCCUUGUUGAUGCUUUUGCAGUACAUAUUGAUGCAGCUUUUAGGAUUGCCUAUCAUCUUAGAAUGCGAUGAAGUUACUAGAUUUUUCUGAAUGCCCUCGUACCUCAUUUCUUUCAGACAUAGAAGAAGAAUCAUUCAGGUAAUACCUGAACUGAUAUUGAUAUAACACGAACUUAGACUGUGAUUUUUUUUUUGAAGAAUUAUAGCUCUCGAGCUCUAGUUCAAGUAUAUCUAUUAUUCUACGUCUCUGCCAUUCUUUUCAAUGAUUAUCUAAAAUUUAGAGGUUUUUUUAGAUUAAAUGUUUACGUG